rnacentral:rRNA from 1 species
UAGAAGCAGCCAUCAUUUAAAGAAAGCGUAAUAGCUCACUGGUCGAGUCGGCCUGCGCGGAAGAUGUAACGGGGCUAAACCAUGCACCGAAGCUGCGGCAGCGACACUGUGUGUUGUUGGGUAGGGGAGCGUUCUGUAAGCCUGUGAAGGUGGCCUGUGAGGGUUGCUGGAGGUAUCAGAAGUGCGAAUGCUGACAUAAGUAACGAUAAAGCGGGUGAAAAGCCCGCUCGCCGGAAGACCAAGGGUUCCUGUCCAACGUUAAUCGGGGCAGGGUGAGUCGACCCCUAAGGCGAGGCCGAAAGGCGUAGUCGAUGGGAAACGGGUUAAUAUUCCCGUACUUGGUGUUACUGCGAAGGGGGGACGGAGAAGGCUAUGUUGGCCGGGCGACGGUUGUCCCGGUUUAAGCGUGUAGGUGUGUGUUCCAGGUAAAUCCGGUUCACUUUAACACUGAGGCGUGACGACGAGGCACUACGGUGCUGAAGCAACAAAUGCCCUGCUUCCAGGAAAAGCCUCUAAGCAUCAGGUAACAUCAAAUCGUACCCCAAACCGACACAGGUGGUCAGGUAGAGAAUACCAAGGCGCUUGAGAGAACUCGGGUGAAGGAACUAGGCAAAAUGGUGCCGUAACUUCGGGAGAAGGCACGCUGACACGUAGGUGAAGUGAUUUACUCAUGGAGCUGAAGUCAGUCGAAGAUACCAGCUGGCUGCAACUGUUUAUUAAAAACACAGCACUGUGCAAACACGAAAGUGGACGUAUACGGUGUGACGCCUGCCCGGUGCCGGAAGGUUAAUUGAUGGGGUCAGCGCAAGCGAAGCUCCUGAUCGAAGCCCCGGUAAACGGCGGCCGUAACUAUAACGGUCCUAAGGUAGCGAAAUUCCUUGUCGGGUAAGUUCCGACCUGCACGAAUGGCGUAAUGAUGGCCAGGCUGUCUCCACCCGAGACUCAGUGAAAUUGAACUCGCUGUGAAGAUGCAGUGUACCCGCGGCAAGACGGAAAGACCCCGUGAACCUUUACUAUAGCUUGACACUGAACAUUGAGCCUUGAUGUGUAGGAUAGGUGGGAGGCUUUGAAGUGUGGACGCCAGUCUGCAUGGAGCCGACCUUGAAAUACCACCCUUUAAUGUUUGAUGUUCUAACGUGGACCCGUAA